rnacentral:rRNA from 1 species
GCUUGCUUUCUUUGCUGGCGACCGGCGCACGGGUGAGUAACACGUAUCCAACCUACCCUUUACUCGGGGAUAGCCUUUCGAAAGAAAGAUUAAUACCCGAUAGCAUAAUGAUUCCGCAUGGUUUCAUUAUUAAAGGAUUCCGGUAAAGGAUGGGGAUGCGUUCCAUUAGGGUUGUUGGUGGGGUAACGGCCCACCAAGCCUUCGAUGGAUAGGGGUUCUGAGAGGAAGGUCCCCCACAUUGGAACUGAGACACGGUCCAAACUCCUACGGGAGGCAGCAUG